GGGCUGGUCAGCUCAGUCGGUUGGAGCGUGGUGCUGAUAACAUCAAAGUCAUGGGUUCGAUCCCCAUUCAGUCCC
rnacentral:tRNA from 1 species